UUUGGCAUAUGAUGAAGAAAUCUUAUCCUACACACCGAAUUCACCGUGUGGAAUACAACUCCGCUUAUUAUCUGAUGCCUUU
rfam:Medicago truncatula strain A17 chromosome 7, whole genome shotgun sequence.